rnacentral:rRNA from 1 species
AAUGAACGCUGGCGGCGUGGUUAAGACAUGCAAGUCGAACGGUUUUUUCGGUGUAGCAAUACAUUGAAAAAGCAGUGGCGAACGGGUGCGUAACACGUGAACAAUCUACCUUCGAAUGGGGAAUAGCUCGCCGAAAGGCGAAUUAAUACCGCAUACGGUGGCCUCUCGCCUGAGAGACCUACUAAAGUCGGGGACCGCAAGGCCUGACGUUUGAAGAGGAGUUCGCGGCCUAUCAGCUAGUUGGCGAGGU